rnacentral:lncRNA from 1 species
AAAUACAAGCAGAAUUUUGUCCUGCUACACAGGCUUCAACAACUGCGGGGGAAAACAUGUCUACCAGAUGAUGCUGGAGUCUUUAUCUCUUGAGUUGUUAACAUUCUUAUCUUCACCAGUCUGAGGCCCCGUUUGGGAUUGAGGUGAUUUUAAAAAAAGCCACUGUGAAAAAAAGCUGAGGGUCAUUUUUGUGUUUGGUAAACUGAAAAAAAAGGGCUUAUUUUGGAAGCUGCUGUGAGAAUAAGCUGAAAAUCAAAGGAAAAGCUGAAGCUGCUAUUUGCUGCUUUGAAAAAAAGCCAGUUUUUUCAAAGCACACGGAGCUACAGUGCUCCUUUAAUGAAAAGACACACUAUCAUCCUGCUUUUUUUUCCAAAAGCACUUUUACAAAAAAGUUUACCAAACACUCUACUGGCUUUAUUUCACAGCCGCUUAUUCUCACAGCACAGCCACUUAUUCUCACAGCAGCUUUUUUUCAAAGCACAGCAAUACCAAACCAGCCCUGAGCUGAAUCGAAGUGGAAGCGUCUCCAAUGGUUUUAUCGCUGCAACACCUCUGAGAUCAAGGCUAGAGUACUUUUCAUAUGUGACCUUCAAACUUCCCACUCUUGCAG